UACAGAGGGUGCAAACGUUGCUCGGAAUCAUUGGGCGUAAAGCGCACGUAGGCGGCCCAGCAAGUGGGGAGUGAAAGCCCUCGGCUUAACCGGGGAACUGCGUCUGAUACUGGAUGGCUUGAAUCCGGGAGAGGGAUGCGGAAUUCCAGGUGUAGCGGUGAAAUGCGUAGAUAUCUGGAGGAACACCGGUGGCGAAGGCGGCAUCCUGGACCGGCAUUGACGCUGAGGAGCGAAAGCCAGGGGAGCAAACGGG
rnacentral:rRNA from 1 species